UGGAGAGAGUGCGUCAGAUCUACA
rnacentral:misc_RNA from 1 species